GAGCGUUUGCACCAUCUUGCCUCUCAGCAUCAAGCUUCCCGCAUAUGGAGGCUGGUGGCGUGUGGAAGUGGGGACACAGAGCUGGCACGGGGAGGCUCAUUUCCAUUCCAGAACCAGGCUGCUUUUCCUUCCUACCUGCCCUUCCCUCCAAGCCCAGGUGCUGCCCGUGCUGUCGGCUCUGAUCAGCUGCUCAGGAGGCUCGUCAUCAGCUUAAAAGACACCUGAAAAAGCUCAGCAGCCACCCCAGAAACUAGCAAAAAUGGGAAAGGUGCCUGGUGUAGGAACAUCUCUCCUUGUUGUGUCUCUAGCCAUAUGUAACCCUUUCUGUUUUAAGUCAUUUCCUGGCUGCUGGCCUAGCUACGUGCAAAGCUCCAUCAGCCAGCUAGCCCCUUUCAGAGGGACACCGAGGGUGUUAAAAAUAAAUGAUGCUUUCUCCUCCUGUCAGUAUCUGCAGAAGAUUUUCAGAAGAGCUGUACUUAAUGGAAAUCCCUCCCUCCACAUUUACUAAGGGUCUGCCAUCUUCCGGUAGUGACACCCAGGAAAUGUUUUAUGGAUGAGGCUCCAUCACCUGUUGGCACGAAGAGGAGAAGGCAGAGCCACCGGUGAUGGAUGAUCCCCUGGAAACUGCACUGUGUCCUCUGCACCCUCCGCCUCCCUCUCCAUGCCUCUUUAUCAUGCAUCAUCACAGCAGCAGCCACCUGCAGCUGCCAGGAAACUCCCAGCUUCUCUCCCUCUGAACUUCCACGAUCUUCUGACAUGCUUCCCCUUCUCCAAAAGGGCCUUCCUAAAUCGAAGGUGUGGAUGAACCGUGGGCGUUUCUGUAGGUGGCAGAGAGAGAGAAUUCUUCUCUGGACACGUUGUCCAGGGCAUCUGGCACGUUAACCUUUGCUUCCUCAGCAAAGUUGUUUUGUGGCAUGGGGAAAAAGGGGCAGAAUUCUGCAGUGCUUUUAUUUUGGAUGGUUGUGGGUUUGUGCUGCCAACUUGAUAGCUGCGUGUGCGGUAUUUUUGUUGUUGUUUUUGCAAACACCCUCUUUUCUGCAUCUCUGUUUCUCGCCAUAAACCACGGUUGUUAACGGCAGGGGAAAUGGCAGAAAAUGACUAAUAAGAAAAUGUAUUGGAAACCCCUGGCCCCCAAACCGGAUUAUGGUGAGAGAUGAAGUAAGGAGCGAGUCUGAGAGGUGACAGGCCGAUCCCGCUGACGCUCCUUGUUUGCUGAGCAGCUCUAAAUUCGAGCACUCGUUUAAUAGAAGUCAUUUUCUGUAU